GACGAACGCUGGCGGCGUGCUUGAACACAUGCAAGUCGAACGGAGAUAGAAGCUUGCUUCUAUCUUAGUGGCAAACGGGUGAGUAACGCGUGGGUAACSUACCCUAAAGUGGGGGAUAACAGGUCGAAAGGUCUGCUAAUACCGCAUACCCUUCAAGUACGAAAGUAUUUGAAGGAAAGGAGUAAUCCGCUUAAGGAGGGGCSUGCGUCSUAUCAGGUAGUUGGUGAGGUAACGGCUCACCAAGCMUAUGACGGGUAGCUGGUCUGAGAGGAUGAUCAGUCACACUGGAACUGAGACACGGUCCAGACUCCUACGGGAGGCAGCAGUGGGGAAUAUUCCGCAAUGGGCGAAAGCCUGACGGAGCGACGCCGCGUGGAUGAUGAAGACCCUAUGGGUCGUAAAAUCSUUUUGUGAGGGAAGAAGAUCUGACGGUACCUCACGAAUAGGCCACGGCUAACUACGUGCCAGCAGCCGCGGUAAAACGUAGGUGGCAAGCGUUGUCCGGAAUUACUGGGCGUAAAGAGUGCGUA
rnacentral:rRNA from 1 species